AUUGAACGCUGGCGGCAUGCCUUACACAUGCAAGUCGAACGGCAGCACGGGGCAACCUGGUGGCGAGUGGCGAACGGGUGAGUAAUGCAUCGGAACGUGCCAUUGAGUGGGGGAUAACGUAGCGAAAGUUGCGCUAAUACCGCAUAUUCUGUGAGCAGGAAAGCAGGGGAUCGCAAGACCUUGCGCUCUGGGAGCGGCCGAUGUCGGAUUAGCUAGUUGGUGGGGUAAAGGCCUACCAAGGCGACGAUCCGUAGCGGGUCUGAGAGGAUGAUCCGCCACACUGGGACUGAGACACGGCCCAGACUCCUACGGGAGGCAGCAGUGGGGGAAUUUUGGACAAUGGGCGAAAGCCUGAUCCAGCCAUGCCGCGUGAGUGAAGAAGGCC
rnacentral:rRNA from 1 species